ACAACAUUUGGACCGUCGGUCUACCGAGCAAUAUCACCCGCUCCGUGGAAGAUCUUCUCAACGUCGU
rnacentral:pre_miRNA from 1 species